rnacentral:tRNA from 1 species
GUCCCCAUAGUUUAAUGGAUAAAACGGGAGGCUUCUAUCCUUUUGAUCCAGGUUCGAGUCCUGGUGGGGGCACCG